CGCCUCCCGCAAGGCCGCCCGCUCUCCGGUAGCUCGCGUGCUCGCCCGGUUCCGCUUGCGCGGCCCUCUGCGCCCCCAGCACCGCUGCCGCCGCCGCCGGCGCUGGCCUCAUGUGUCACAUUUUCUUAAUCCAGUCUAUGGCUGAUGGAUAUUUGGGUUGGUUCCAACUUUUUGCUAUUGUGAAUAGUGCCGCAAUAAACAUACGUGUGCAUGUGUCUUUAUAGUAGCAUGAUUUAUAAUCCUUUGGGUAUAUACCCAGUAAUGGAAUCGCUGGGUCAAAUGGUAUUUCUAAUUCUAGAUCCUUGAGGAAUCACCACACUGUCUUCCACAAUGGUUGAACUAGUUUACACUCCCACCAACAGUGUAAAAUCGUUCCUAUGUCAAGCAAUGGCAACAAAAGACAAAAUAGACAAAUGGGAUCUAAUUAAACUAAAGAGCUUCUGCACAGCAAAAGAAACUACCAUCAGAGUGAACAGGCAACCUACAGAAUGGGAGAACAUUUUUGCAAUCUAUCCAUCUGACAAAAGGCUAAUAUCCAGAAUCUACAAAUAACUUAAACAAAUUUACAAGAAAAAAACAAACAACCCCAUCAAAAAGUGGGCAAAGGAUAUGAGCAGACACUUCUCAAAAGAAGACAUUUACGCAGCCAACAGACACACGAAAAAAUGCUCACCAUCACUGGCCAUCAGAGAAAUGCAAAUCAAAACCACAAUGAGAUACCAUCUCACAUCAGCUAGAAUGGCAGCUUAAUUUUUAAAAUGCUAUAUCAAUAAUUUAACCACACAGAUCUGUCAGAAUAAAUGUUACAUUUUAAUUGACAAUAAUUUUUUUGUCUCUUAGAGACAGGUAGAUAGACUUCGGGUUCAUCAAAUGGUUCUUUUUUUUUUUUUUUUUUUUUGAGAUGGAUGGAGUCUCUCUCUGUCACCAGGCUGGUGUGCAGUGGUGCUAUCUUGGCUGAUUACAACCUCCGACCCCUGGGUUCAAGCGAUUCUCCUGCUUCAGCCUCUCAAGUAGCUGGGAUUACAGGCGCGUGCCACCACGCCCAGCUAAUUUUUGUAUUUGUAGUAGAGACGGGGUUUCACCGUGUUGACCAGGAUAGUCUCAAUUUCCUGACCUCAAGAUCUGCCCGCCUCGGCCUCCCAAAGUGCUGGGAUUACAGGUGUAAGCCACUCCGCCAGGCCAGUUCUGACAUUUUUAAGAAAGAUUAGGCUGAUGCUAUGGUAACUCAGUUAUUCAUGAUACAUGUCAUAUUAGAGAUAGGAUAAUUCAAUAUUCAUGAUUUUGAAGCAAUUUCAGAGUACUAUAAUCACCACACUUGACAGACUUCAGAAUUCAUUGGAAAUCUCUGGAAAUAAUUAGCAAGUUAUUAGCACAGAUUCCAAACAGACCUUCAAAAUGCAUUACAUAGAUUUGGUAAAACAGAUUGUCAGUCUGCCAAAAGUAGUCACUUUGGUUUGAUUUGCAUUGAAUGAAAUUUUUAAAAUGUAAAGCUAAACUCUUCAGGAUCACUGCACUGGUUUCUAUGGGACAACACUGAACAGGGCUGCCACUGAAACACCUUGGAUGAGAGCCUCAAACUCCCUGAACACAGCUUCCAGCACACUACUGGGAGAAUGAUUGGGAAUCAAAAAUGCGUGCAAUGAAUUUACUUAUGAGCUUCUUGGAGAGGAAGUAAAGAGGUUGUAUGUAAUUACCUCAAAUUAGCACUACUACAGAUAAAGUAAUAAUAUUGAUAAAGUAAUUGAUAAAUAGUAGUGCUAAAGUCAUACUAAUCAAGUAGUACUAAUAGCCCUAUACUAGUAGUAAUAACAAAGUGGUAUUGCUAUUGAUUCUAUUGGUCUGUCUACCUACCUAUCUCUCUAGAUGGGAGGGCAUAGGAUUUGGCUGAUGAGAUUGGGCUUAGCAGUGGAGAGCAAAGAGCUCAUGCAUGCUUUGAACAGGUAUGCACUCAAACCUGGUAUCGUGUGACUGUUCUGAAUUCCAGAACCAAGGCUAAAAGGUGGAAGUUUUGUUUGACUAUUUGUGUGUCACAUUUUCCUUUUGGUCUAUUGUCUAACAUAUGCUGCUAGAAUUCUUUUUACUCUGACUACCUUUUAGGUGGUUAGAUGACGCUGUUAUUGAUGAGAUCACACCCAAGCUGAUCAGAGAUCCGCCCCAUUUUCUGCCUAGGAAAUACCAAUUUUUUUAGUAUGGCAAGUGUUUCCAAGCAUUGAGAAGUGGAGAGUGUAGGAUAUCCACUGCAGAAUGAGGUCUGCUUGUCAUCCUCUUAGUCUCCACUGCUAUCCCUCCCUCAUCUCUCUCUGUUUCAUUGAUGAGUAUAGAAGAUCAGUCACUUUUAUAUGAAAUGAAAAUUGAUGAAACUAAGGUGUUGAUUUGAUUAUCCAACCAACCAUUUAUUGAGUGUUCAUUAUAAGUCAAAUUGUGUUCUGGAGAACAGCUCAGGAAAUGAAUGUUUGACAUCAAUGUACAUAACAGAAAUACGAACAUACCAUUAAAAACUCAGACCUCUUAUGACAAUCCAGAUUCUCAUGUAAGUUUUGUGAAGCUCUUUCAAGAUGACAAUGUAACAAUUCAAAAAAAAUUAUUUAAACAAGUCAUUCUUGAGACAGAAAAAUGGAAUUACAAGAUCAUAUAUGGCUAUUUCACUAGCUGAAAUCUUAAGUACUGUUUUUAGUCAAUUGACAGCCAUAUAAUUCUUAGUUUUAUAUACUGAUAUUCACCAGAAAUUAAAAACUUUUAAAAAUAUUUCUGUCUCAUUCUACUAAUUUUAAAAUUUCAUUUAUUUGGUUAUAUUUCUUCAUUUUACCUGGCCUUGAAUACUUCUUUCCUGCCCAGCAUUAAGUUUAAUUAAUGUCUAAUUUGUUUACUUGGUUUAGUUACUUUUGACCAUGCUUGGUACACUUGUUGUGGAGCAGGCAUGUAGAAAUGUUUACAGGUUUAUGGUCCUCACUCUUCCAAAUCCCUAACGGCGGCACCCAACAGACACAUACCACAAUGUAAACACAUACACACACACACACCUGCACACCCAUACUCACCCACCUACACACACACCCGCACACACCCAUACUCACCCACCUACACACAGACACACACCGAUACUCACCCACCUACACCUAGACACACCUGCACUCACCCACCCACACCCAGACUCACCCACACAUACCUGUAGUCCCCAGCUACUCCCAAGGCUGAGGCGAGAGAUGCUUGAAUCUGGGAGACAGAAGUUGCAGUGAGCCAAGAUCAUGUCUCUACACUCCAGCCUGCGUGACAGAGCAAAACCCUGUCUCCAAAAAAAAAAUAAAUAAAUAAAUAAAAAAUUAGACAGUUGUGGUAGCCCAUGCCUGUAUUCUCAGCUACUUGGGGGAGCUGAGUUGGGGGGAUCACUUGAGCCCGGGAAGUCGAGGCUACAGUGAGCUGUGGUCAUGCCACUGCACUCCAGCCUGGGUGACAAAGUGAGAUCCCUUCUCUACAAAGAAAAAAAUAAAUAAAGAAGUCAUCCACCAUGGGCACUGA
rnacentral:lncRNA from 10 species